rnacentral:rRNA from 1 species
GAUGAACGCUGGCGGCGUGCCUAAUACAUGUAAGUCGAACGGAGUGCUAGCAAUAGUACUUAGUGGCGAACGGGUGAGUAACGCGUUGGUACCUGCCCCAAAGCGGGGGAUAACGGACCGAAAGGUUCGCUAAUACCCCAUGUGCUCCGCGAGGAGUAAAGGCGAAAGUCACUUUGGGAGGGGCCUGCGUCCCAUCAGCUAGUUGGUAAGGUAACGGCUUACCAAGGCGAUGACGGGUAGGGGACCUGAGAGGGUGGCCCCCCA